GCAUCCAGUGACUCCGCCCGGCGCGCGGAGCUGCAGCCAUGGCUGUCACCGCCGAGGGCGCCCGAAGGAAAGAGCGCGUCCUCUGCUUGUUUGACGUGGACGGGACCCUCACGCCGGCUCGCCAGUUUUUGGCAGACACAACAUCUUUGUUGAAAAUUGACCCUGAGGUAUCAGCUUUCCUGCAGAAGCUGCGCAGUCGGGUGCAGAUUGGAGUGGUGGGCGGCUCCGAUUACUCCAAGAUUGCUGAGCAGCUGGGAGAUGGGGAUGAAGUCAUUGAGAAGUUUGAUUAUGUGUUUGCUGAGAACGGGACGGUGCAGUAUAAGCAUGGACGGCUGCUCUCCAAGCAGACCAUCCAGAACCACCUGGGAGAAGAACUCCUACAGGACUUGAUCAACUUCUGCCUCAGCUACAUGGCCCUGCUCAGACUGCCCAAGAAGCGCGGAACCUUCAUCGAGUUCCGGAAUGGCAUGCUGAACAUCUCGCCCAUUGGUCGCAGCUGCACCCUGGAGGAGAGGAUCGAGUUCUCUGAACUGGACAAGGGUCCAGGAUCCAACAACUCCUGUUCCUUCAGCCUCCGGAACCAGCCUCAAGUCUGCUCAGCUGCAGGCCAACACCCUACUCCCCAGACUACUGUCUUGUUCCCCAGGCUGCCCCCAAUCCUGCCCCCUCAGCCCGGUCUGCUCUCCAGCAGUGCCCUUGACAAUCUGUUACACAUGUCGUCACCCCCAGCCCCUGCUGGCAGUCCUUCCCAGGCUCCCCAGCCCCUCUCCAGCCCUGAGGGCUCUGCCGGCUCCUGCUCCUCUUCAGCCUCCUCUCCGCAUUGGGUGUGAAUCUGCCCCGUCCACCAUGCCCUCUCAGGAUGGUGGGCAUCUUCCCUGAUGCGUUCCCAUCGCCCUGUGCGUGCCCUCUCUCACCAGCUGGCUGCCCUCCCCUCUGCCCCCUGCUGCAGCCAUGGCCUCCUUGCUUUAGCAGACAGUUUCCCAGGGUGCAGACUCAGCCCCCACCAGCUCAUCCGCUCACCUCCUCAGCUCUGCUCACAUGUCACCUUCUGGUGGCCCUCCCAAGCUUCACAUUCACACCGCACCUCUGUCAGUCCUGCACCGCUGCCCUGUCUUAGCUUCCCCAGCAUCCACCGCUGCCCUCUGACCCCCCACACUGUCUACUUUUAAGAUCUCAGUUCCUCCAUCAGCUCUCACCAAAACCGUCAUCUCCACAGACUUGUGUGACUUGUUGGCUGAUGGGUCCUGUGUGCCUCAUACACAGCAAGUGCCCAGAAGUACUUUUUGUCUUUUUGCGGUGCUGGGGUUGAGCGCAGGCCUCGUGCAUGCCAGGCCAGCGCUCGACGCUGAGCCAUACCCAGCCUAGGGAAUGCCUUUGAUUGAAUCUAUGAAACAAGUGGCAUUAAUUCCAUUUUAUGAACGUGAAAAUGAAGGCCAGAGGGGAAAUGACAUACCCAGGGCCACCUAGGCCGUGGGCUGCAGAGUGAAGAUUGAUGCAGCCCGCUGCCCACUGGUGCUUCCCUGAGAGGGGAGGGGCUCAGUGACAGGACUCCUACCCUGUGUUGGAGGCUUUCUGUAGGCAUGGCCACAGCCACAGGGAUCUUUCUGGUUGGAGUAGUUAAGGGCCUCUGGAGGGCCUCUGGCCUCCCUGGGGCCCACACAACCACUGGGAAGGCAGAGGCAGAGCCAGAGCCAGCAGGUGUCCCAUCCCUCAUAUCUGUUUUCCCAGAAGAGGGAAGCACCCUCUUCAUUAAUCAUUUCCCCAUGCUUAACCAAGAAAAUAGGCUCAGAGACUUCGAUGACCUGCCCACGGCCACACAGCACAGCUGGCAAGCCUGGAGCCCUGGCAGCCUGUCCUUAGGUCUCGGGUGGAGUCCUAUAUGCCCUUAUCUUGUGGCAUCCAGGGCUACCUCUCCAGAAGGAGAAGAUCCGAGAGAAGUUUGUGGAAGCCCUGAAGACAGAGUUUGCCGGCAAGGGAUUGAGGUUCUCCCGAGGAGGCAUGAUCAGCUUUGAUGUCUUCCCUGAGGGCUGGGACAAGCGCUACUGUCUGGAC